GCAAGUUGCCCACUUGUAUCCUCAAAAUAUCCCGCUGCAAGUCCAUGUAUUUUUCCUCUCAAAAUGGCUGGGUCGGGACUUAGAAAAACCUCAUUAACGCCCUGAAAAACUGCACGAUCUAGGCAGCCUGCAUUCUGCCCCAAAAUCAUCUACUUACAUCCCCCAGCCCGAAUUUGCCUGCGUCCCCUAUCACAAGCUGUUCCGUCCUUCUGAAACGCGUUACCCGCGCUAUCUUGCGAUCGCUAUCGGGACGAAUCGGUCACGACUGUGCGAGCGUAAGUCACUCUCCCAUUGAAUUUGGCGACGCACUCAUCGCCUUGUACCGCUGAAGCUUAGACCUUAAUAGCCAUAAGUCUAUCUCAUUUUCCCACUUGGUGCCAUGAAAUUCCCGUGUCAUGCCAAGCCUUAAGUCAUGACCUUCCUCGUAGCGAAACAUGUUCGGUGCAUCCUCAUGCAACCUUGCAUUGUCUUCCACGUCCAUGGGCAUAAAAGCUCUCCCAACUUGCGGCACCAUCCCUCGAUGACUAGGUUUCCACAGUGCCCCUUGCACCUUUUCCCGUUGCAACCUCUUGCAUGCCACCUUCGACACCAACCUUCACCCUCAGCACCUUUGCCUUGGUUCCUCGGAUGGACAACUCCUCCGGCUGUAGUGUCCUCACACCUGUCGAAGCUUUGAACCUUCGUGCACCCAAUUUCGGACUUUUUUGACAAUGCUUCCUCACUUUCCUUCUUUUUCGGUAGUUCCCUCGGCAACUCCGCGAGCAUGUCCUUAUCAUCUUCAAGAACUUCCGCAAAUUGCAUCCCUGACAGUUGUUGUGUUUC
rnacentral:lncRNA from 1 species